rnacentral:rRNA from 1 species
CAGUAGCCGCGGUAACACGGAGGGAGCUAGCGUUGUUCGGAAUUACUGGGCGUAAAGCGCGCGUAGGCGGUUACUCAAGUCAGAGGUGAAAGCCCGGGGCUCAACCCCGGAACUGCCUUUGAAACUAGGUGACUAGAAUCUUGGAGAGGUCAGUGGAAUUCCGAGUGUAGAGGUGAAAUUCGUAGAUAUUCGGAAGAACACCAGUGGCGAAGGCGACUGACUGGACAAGUAUUGACGCUGAGGUGCGAAAGCGUGAGGAGCAAACAGGAUUAGAUACCCCAGUAGUCCUUGUCUCUUAUAC